CAGGGACAGGUACUCCACCCAGCUCUUCUUGUCCUCGUAGUUCUUGGACUCAUCCACGAUCUUCUGAAACAUCGCUCUCUUCCUGAACCCAGGGAACAAGGGAGGUGCAGUGCUCACCCACCCAGUGCUCACCCACCCAGUGCUCACUCGCUGCAUCAGAACCCUGCUCCGCAGGAUACGGCCCUGCAGUCCUGCGGACGCUGCGUCCCCAGUGCCCACAGCAGAAACCGAGAGUUGUUGGUGCCACGGUGAUCGAUGUCGUGGCACAGGCCGGCUGUCACCAUGGCGAAGGCCUCCAGGUCCGUGUAGUAGCUCUUUAGUUUGCCGGUCUGUAGAGACAGGGCCACCUUGCUCACCGGUCCUGGCUCCAGCAGGGUGGGGAGUGGUGAGGGGUUGGGAUGACCGAGGAGUCGGGUUGGAGGUUGGACCUCCAACCACUGCAGGGCUGGGGUGCGGGGUGCACGGUGUUAGAGGGCGUUGCCCUUCUCCAUCCUUCUGCCCUGGGAGGACCCCCAUCUCAUCCCUCGGGGUGCAUGAGCGCUGCCCUUGGUACCAGGAGGGCCUGCACAACCCCGGCCAUUCUGGCAGCCACGCACCGUGAGCAGUGUGAACAUCGUCUGGGCCACAUUGAAGCCGUGACGCCAGUUGUGGUAGGUGAUUCUCCGGUACCCUUUGCUGAUGGAGAACAGGAACCGCACCAGGACCUAGGGGAGCCGAGAGGACACAGGGCUCCGGCAGCAAGUGUGUAAGUCCCGCCAGAGCGGCACAUGUGGCUGACUUCACGGUGGAAGCCCUGCUCCGUACCAUCAUCCCCACACCCUGUCUCCCGGACUCCCCGACCUUCCCCGUCCCUGCGUUUCCCGCUGGCCUCCGCUGGCCUUCCUGGGUAGGGGCUGCCACAUUGGCACCUAUGGGGUGGAGCCAGGCAGGGCAGGAGCUGAGAACAGCCCCAGCCUUCAGGGGCCGCCCAGCCUCCAUCCGACUGCCUGGCCUCAAGCUGGGAGGAGGACCCCUGGGGAUGCAGCAUAUUUUAAGAUGUCGGUUUUAGGCAUGGACAUUUGAAUGAGCAGAAUGUGUGGGCUGCAGGCUGGGGUGGGAGAGCUGAUGUCUGCAGGGCAAGAGAAUGCUGGUCACCAGGAGGCUCUUCCUGCAGUCAUUGUGAUUUUUAGGGUCAGAAAAUUAUUUGGAAAUAUUUUUUAUUCUGCAAAUAUUUUCUAUACAUUUUUUCUUGAGUGUUUUCCCUUAGUAUUUAGUAAAACUUCUUUUGAAAAUGCUGGCCUGCUGCACCUGUUCUCAGAGGGGCAUGAGAAAAGAGGAUUCUCUUCUUUGGGCUGUGGGAAGCCCCCUGAGAUGUUGGAAGCAGGGCAGGGCAGGAGAACCCAGGGAGGGCACAGAACUGUGGAUGAGAGCUGGGAAAGCCAUCCCGCCUCCCCAGGGGGUCUCCGAGGAGCGCUGCUGUGGCCAAACCUGGAGGGCCACUUUGUGCUUUCUGUUUAGGUGAUGGGAUGCUUCUAUCUCCUCAGCACCCUACACCAAAUCCCGUUAUUGCCAGAUGAUGUGCCUAAUGAUCAAAUUGCUUGGAACUCCUAAUAAUAAAACCUUAAAUCUAUCCAUUCACCAUCCAUCUGCUGUCCACCCACCCAUUCACCCAUUCAUCGACCCAUCUAUUAAUUCAUUAAUUGACCCACCUACUCAUCUAUCACUCAUCCACCCACUUCUCCAUCCACCCACCCAUCCAUCCACUUAUCCAACCAUCCAAGUACCAUUGGCCCGCCCACCCAUCCAUCCACUUAUCCAACCAUCCAACUACCAUUGGCCCGCCCACCCAUCCAUCCAUUUAUCCAACCAUCCAACUACCAUUGGCCCACCCACCCAUCCAUCCAUUUAUCCAACCAUCCAACUACCAUUGGCCCACCCACCCAUCCAUUUAUCCAACCAUCCAACUACCAUUGGCACCCACCCAUCCAUCCAUUUAUCCAACCAUCCAACUACCAUUGGCCCACCCACCCAUCCAUCCAUUUAUCCAACCAUCCAACUACCAUUGGCAUCCACCCAUCCAUCCAUUUAUCCAACCAUCCAACUACCAUUGGCCCA